rnacentral:rRNA from 1 species
CCACGCUGUAAACGAUGUCGAUUUGGAGUUUGUUGCCUAGAGUGAUGGGCUCCGAAGCUAACGCGAUAAAUCGACCGCCUGGGGAGUACGGCCGCAAGGUUAAAACUCAAAUGAAUUGACGGGGGCCCGCACAAGCGGUGGAGCAUGUGGUUUAAUUCGAUGCAACGCGAAGAACCUUACCUGGUCUUGACAUCCAUAGAAUUCUGCAGAGAUGUGGGAGUGCCUUCGGGAACUAUGAGACAGGUGCUGCAUGGCUGUCGUCAGCUCGUGUUGUGAAAUGUUGGGUUAAGUCCCGCAACGAGCGCAACCCUUAUUCUUUGUUGCCAGCGAUUUGGUCGGGAACUCAAAGGAGACUGCCGUUGAUAAAGCGGAGGAAGGUGGGGACGACGUCAAGUCAUCAUGGCCCUUACGACCAGGGCUACACACGUGCUACAAUGGCGUAUACAAAGGGAAGCGAAGGUGCGAGCUGGAGCGGAUCUCAUAAAGUACGUCUAAGUUCGGAUUGGAGUCUGCAACUCGACUCCAUGAAGUCGGAAUCGCUAGUAAUCGUAGAUCAGAAUGCUACGGUGAAUACGUUCCCGGGCCUUGUACACACCGCCCGUCACACCAUGGGAGUGGGUUGCACCAGAAGUAGAUAGCUUAACCGCGAGGGGGGCGUUUACCACGGUGUGAUUCAUGACUGGGGUGAAGUCGUAACAAGGUAACCA